GACGAACGCUGGCGGCGUGCUUAACACAUGCAAGUCGAACGAAGAGCGAUGGAAGCUUGCUUCUAUCAAUCUUAGUGGCGAACGGGUGAGUAACGCGUAAUCAACCUGCCCUUCAGAGGGGGACAACAGUUGGAAACGACUGCUAAUACCGCAUACGAUCCAAUCUCGGCAUCGGGACUGGAUGAAAGGUGGCCUCUAUUUAUAAGCUAUCACUGAAGGAGGGGAUUGCGUCUGAUUAGCUAGUUGGAGGGGUAACGGCCCACCAAGGCGAUGAUCAGUAGCCGGUCUGAGAGGAUGAACGGCCACAUUGGGACUGAGACACGGCCCAGACUCCUACGGGAGGCAGCAGUGGGGAAUCUUCCGCAAUGGACGCAAGUCUGACGGAGCAACGCCGCGUGAGUGAUGACGGCCUUCGGGUUGUAAAGCUCUGUUAAUCGGGACGAAUGGUUCUUGUGCGAAUAGUGCGAGGAUUUGACGGUACCGGAAUAGAAAGCCACGGCUAACUACGUG
rnacentral:rRNA from 1 species